rnacentral:rRNA from 1 species
CUUCUCUUCGGAGCAGGAGUGACAGGUGGUGCAUGGUUGUCGUCAGCUCGUGUCGUGAGAUGUUGGGUUAAGUCCCGCAACGAGCGCAACCCUUAUCUUUAGUAGCCAGCGGUUCGGCCGGGCACUCUAGGGAGACUGCCAGGGAUAACCUGGAGGAAGGGGGGGAUGACGUCAAAUCAUCAUGCCCCUUAUGACUUGGGCUACACACGUGCUACAAUGGCGUAAACAAAGGGAAGCAAACCUGUGAGGGCGAGCAAAUCUCAAAAAUAACGUCUCAGUUCGGAUUGUAGUCUGCAACCCGACUACACGAAGCUGGAAUCGCUAGUAAUCGCAAAUCAAAAUGCUGCGGUGAAUACGUUCCCGGGUCUUGUACAC